GCCGGGCAUGGUGGCGGGUGCCUGUAAUCCCAGGUACUUGGGAGGCUGAGGUAGGAGAAUCACUUGAACCUGGGAGGCCGAGGUUGCAGUGAGCUGAGAUCGUGCCACUGCACUCCAGCCUGGGUGACAGAGUGAGACUCCAUCUUAA
rnacentral:SRP_RNA from 1 species